UUGAGUGCGGGGCCCUGUGCAGUUUGUAGACGGAGAGGAAUAUAUGGAAACAUAGGGCAGAGUCAGCUUGCUAUUAAGUCACCAAAGGCCUGCAGGUACUGUUUACUGGGACAAUGGGAAAGCCCUUGACCAACCUGCAGCACAAUCCGCACAAGGCCAGUGACUGUUCCUUGCCACAUAGUAUUGCAUGCUUUUAUUUGGGAUUAUCAGAGCACUAAAAGUUCCCAGAGGAACAGCAUUGUUCUUCCUGUUUACGGAAUGUCAUUUUUGACCAAUAGUUGGGUUUCACAAACAAGAAGUAGGUAAUUAAAACAGCAUGUCAUGCCUUUGAUUUACUCAUAAGUUGAAAGUGCAGCCAUCAGUAAGGUGAGGGAAGAGAGCUAAUUUCUUGCUUAGCACUCUAG
rnacentral:lncRNA from 1 species